UUAUAUGGUCAAGCGACUAAGCGCAUACGGUGGAUGCCUUGGCAGUUAGAGGCGAUGAAGGACGUUGGAGCCUGCGAAAAGCAUUGGUGAGGUGGCAACCAACCGUUAUUAACCAAUGAUGUCCGAAUGGGGAAACCCACCUUUCAUAAGAAAGGUAUCCCGCACUGAAUACAUAGGUGUGUGGAAGCGAACCCGGAGAACUGAAACAUCUAAGUACCCGGAGGAAAAGAAAUCAACCGAGAUUCCCCUAGUAGCGGCGAGCGAACGGGGACUAGCCGAGCGAUGUAAAUUAGUGGAACAGUCUGGAAAGUCUGGCGAUACAGGGUGAUAGCCCCGUACACGAAAAUGAUCAUCGACGUAUUAAGUAGGACGGCACACGUGUUAUGUUGUCUGAAGAUGGGGGGACCAUCCUCCAAGGCUAAAUACUCCUAACUGACCGAUAGUGAACCAGUACCGUGAGGGAAAGGCGAAAAGAACCCCGGAGAGGGGAGUGAAAUAGAACCUAAAACCGUAUGCGUACAAGCAGUGGGAGCAGACUAGUUCUGUGACUGCGUACCUUUUGUAUAAUGGGUCAGCGACUUAAGGUCUGUAGCAAGGUUAACCGUUUAGGGGAGCCGUAGGGAAACCGAGUCUUAAUAGGGCGAAUUAGUUGCAGGCUUUAGACCCGAAACCCGGCGAUCUAGCCAUGGGCAGGUUGAAGGUGCCGUAACAGGCACUGGAGGACCGAACCGACCUAUGUUGAAAAAUGGGCGGAUGACCUGUGGCUCGGAGUGAAAGGCUAAUCAAGCCGGGAGAUAGCUGGUUCUCCUCGAAAUCUAUUUAGGUAGAGCGUCAUGUCUUACCCGCGGGGGUAGAGCACUGUUUCGGCUAGGGGGUCAUCCCGACUUACCAACCCGAUGCAAACUCCGAAUACCGCGGAGUACAAUCAUGGCAGACACACUACGGGUGCUAACGUCCGUUGUGGAAAGGGAAACAACCCAGACCGCCAGCUAAGGUCCCAAAUAGCAAUUAAGUGGGAAACGAUGUGGGAAGGCCCAGACAGCUAGGAGGUUGGCUUAGAAGCAGCCAUCCUUUAAAGAAAGCGUAAUAGCUCACUAGUCGAGUCGGCCUGCGCGGAAGAUGUAACGGGGCUAAAUUGCUAACCGAAGCUGCGGAUGCAUAUUUAUAUGCAUGGUAGAGGAGCGUUCUGUACGCUGUUGAAGGUGAACCGAGAGGUUUGCUGGAGGUAUCAGAAGUGCGAAUGCUGACAUGAGUAACGAUAAAGGGGGUGAAAAACCCCCUCGCCGGAAGACCAAGGUUUCCUGUCCCAUGCUAAUCAGGGCAGGGUUAGUCGGCCCCUAAGGCGAGGCAGAAAUGCGUAGUCGAUGGGAAACAGAUUAAUAUUUCUGUACUUCUGCAUAUUGCGAUGGAGGGACGGAGUAGGCUAGGCCAGCGCGGCGAUGGUUGUCCGCGUUUAAGGUUGUAGGCUGGUGACUUAGGUAAAUCCGGGUCGCUAAGGCUGAGAGCUGAUGACGAGUGUUCGUAAAGAACAUGAAGUGGUCGAUGCCAUGCUUCCAAGAAAAGCUUCUAAGCUUCAGAUAUGUAGGAACCGUACCCCAAACCGACACAGGUGGUCAGGUAGAGAAUACCCAGGCGCUUGAGAGAACACUGGUGAAGGAACUAGGCAAAAUGGUACCGUAACUUCGGGAGAAGGUACGCCGGUUUUGGUGAUGGGACUUGCUCCCUAAGCUGAGGCCGGUCGAAGUGACCAGGUGGCUGCAACUGUUUAUUAAAAACAUAGCACUCUGCAAACACGUAAGUGGACGUAUAGGGUGUGACGCCUGCCCGGUGCCGGAAGGUUAAUUGAUGGGGUUAGCUUCGGCGAAGCUCUUGAUCGAAGCCCCGGUAAACGGCGGCCGUAACUAUAACGGUCCUAAGGUAGCGAAAUUCCUUGUCGGGUAAGUUCCGACCUGCACGAAUGGCGUAAUGAUGGCCACGCUGUCUCCACCAGUGACUCAGUGAAAUUGAAAUUGCGGUUAAGAUGCCGUAUACCCGCGGCUAGACGGAAAGACCCCGUGAACCUUUACUAUAGCUUCACAGUGGACUUUGAUAUGGUCUGUGUAGGAUAGCUGGGAGGCUUUGAAGCAGUGGCGCUAGCCAUUGUGGAGCCAACCUUGAAAUACCAGCCUGAUCAUCUUGAGGUUCUAACUCAGCUCCAUUAUCUGGAGCGAGGACAUUGUGUGGUGGGUAGUUUGACUGGGGCGGUCUCCUCCCAAAGAGUAACGGAGGAGUACGAAGGUGCGCUAAUCACGGUCGGAAAUCGUGAGGUUAGUAUAAUGGUACAAGCGCGCUUGACUGCGAGACUGACAAGUCGAGCAGGUACGAAAGUAGGUCAUAGUGAUCCGGUGGUUCUGUAUGGAAGGGCCAUCGCUCAACGGAUAAAAGGUACUCCGGGGAUAACAGGCUGAUACCGCCCAAGAGUUCACAUCGACGGCGGUGUUUGGCACCUCGAUGUCGGCUCAUCACAUCCUGGGGCUGAAGCCGGUCCCAAGGGUAUGGCUGUUCGCCAUUUAAAGUGGUACGCGAGCUGGGUUUAGAACGUCGUGAGACAGUUCGGUCCCUAUCUGCCGUGGGCGUUGGAGAAUUGAGGAAAGCUGCUUCUAGUACGAGAGGACCGAAGUGGACGAACCUCUGGUGUUCCGGUUGUAUCGCCAGAUGCAUUGCCGGGUAGCUACGUUCGGACAGGAUAACCGCUGAAAGCAUCUAAGCGGGAAGCCCCUUCCAAGAUAAGUUCUCCCUAACUCCUUGAGAGUUCUAAAGGGCCGUCGAAGACUACGACGUUGAUAGGCUGGGUGUGUAAGCGUUGUGAGGCGUUGAGCUAACCAGUACUAAUUGCCCGUGAGGCUUGACCAUAUAA
rnacentral:rRNA from 1 species